UAUCUCUGUAGAGUCUGCAUAUCAAUAAGCGGAGGAAAAGAAACUAACAAGGAUUCCCCUAGUAACGGCGAGUGAAGCGGGAAGAGCUCAAAUUUGAAAUCUUAAAGGGUUUCCCUUUACGAAUUGUAGUUUAAAGAAGUGUUUUCUGUUGAGGUUUUGGUAAAAGUUCUUUGGAAUAGGACAUCAUAGAGGGUGAGAAUCCCGUAUUUGACCUUUACUUUCAACUUUGUGAUACACUUUCAAAGAGUCGGAUUGUUUGGGAAUGCAGUCCGAAAAUGGGUGGUAAAUUUCAUCUAAAGCUAAAUAUUGGCGAGAGACCGAUAGCGAACAAGUACCGUGAGGGAAAGAUGAAAAGAACUUUGAAAAGAGAGUUAAACAGUACGUGAAAUUGUCAAAAGGGAAGCGUUUGACACCAGUGUUGUUUUUCUGAAAAUCAAUUAAAGAACUGUUAUGCUAAGUUGUUUAGACUUUAUCAGCUAACUGUUUAGUUUUGAGCUUUUCUUUAAUGCACUUUUCAGUUAACAAGUCAACAUCAAUUUCUUUUGCUGUAAAAAAGCUUGAGGAAGGUGGCUUGAGAUUCGUCUUAAGUGUUUAUAGCCUCUUGCCUAUGCAGUCGGAGAGAUUGAGGUCUGCAGCGUAGAUCCUUCGGGGCUAAAUGCAUUUGUGCUAAGUUAUAGCAUUUUAUAGACAACUUGUUGACUAUGAUUUGUCUUGUAGCUUACUCGCUUAUGUUAUUUUACCUACGCUUAGGAUGUUGACGAUCAGCUGAGCGCG
rnacentral:rRNA from 1 species